UAUGAAGAACCUUACCAGGUCUUGACAUCCUUUGACCACUCUAGAGAUAGAGCUUUCCCUUCGGGGACAAAGUGACAGGUGGUGCAUGGUUGUCGUCAGCUCGUGUCGUGAGAUGUUGGGUUAAGUCCCGCAACGAGCGCAACCCUUAUUGUUAGUUGCCAUCAUUUAGUUGGGCACUCUAGCGAGACUGCCGGUGCCAAACCGGAGGAAGGUGGGGAUGACGUCAAAUCAUCAUGCCCCUUAUGACCUGGGCUACACACGUGCUACAAUGGGAAGUACAACGAGUCGCUAGACCGCGAGGUCAUGCAAAUCUCUUAAAGCUUCUCUCAGUUCGGAUUGCAGGCUGCAACUCGCCUGCAUGAAGCCGGAAUCGCUAGUAA
rnacentral:rRNA from 1 species